GAAUACAUCACAAGCAUUUCUUGUUUUCAUUUUUACUCAGAGUAAAGUUUUCUCAAGGGCAAGGACUAAUUUUUUUUUUCAAACUUUUCAGUUUGUGUGAAUUAAUGUUCCAUCCUCUGUAUUUUGGGAGGUAUUCUGCAUAUCUCUCAGGAAAUCCAGAUGGAACUGAGUGCCUGCUGCCCACAUCAGCAACCCAGGCUGUGUUGUGUGGCCAUGUCUCCCUGAGUGACAAGCAGGCUGGUUAUGUGGAGUUGUCAGCACACAGGCCUCCCAGAGGACGGCCUUCUCCUCCAGGUGCCACAGUGUCAGGGGACACUCUCUCACAUUAGGACAAGCAGAAGGAAAGAAAAUGUACGACACUACUAAGAAAAUGGUGCAGAAGGCAGAGAAGACUCUUGGAUUGGGAGGAAAUUCCAGUUCAGUCUGGUUUAUAGAAACUUCAACCACAAGCUCUUUUCAAAAGGAUAUCAGGAUUCAAGCAUUACAUCAUCUAAAUAAAUUCUCAUUGGAUGUUCAGUCCCUGACUGGCUGGAAUCGGGUUCCCUUUAUUUAACCCUUUCCCAGCCAAGACAUAGCCUGUCCUAACUUUGAGAAUGUAUCUUUCCUGUUAUUUGCAGCAGCAUUUAGCAUUUGAGCAGAACGCAUGUGAAGAAAGUUGCUUUCUAUAAACCCCCCACCUCAGUUUAAGUUUUUAUACUUAGUAUGUCAAAAAAGUUAUUUCAAAUGCUUUGUUGCUAUGUAAUUGCAAAAGCAGCAUUACUGAGAGAAAUGCUUCAAUAAAGCCUUUGGAAAAU
rnacentral:lncRNA from 10 species